AUGCAAGUCGAGCGAUGAAGCUUCCUUCGGGAAGUGGAUUAGCGGCGGACGGGUGAGUAACACGUGGGUAACCUGCCUCAAAGUGGGGGAUAGCCUUCCGAAAGGAAGAUUAAUACCGCAUAAUAUAAGAGAAUCGCAUGAUUUUCUUAUCAAAGAUUUAUUGCUUUGAGAUGGACCCGCGGCGCAUUAGCUAGUUGGUAAGGUAACGGCUUACCAAGGCAACGAUGCGUAGCCGACCUGAGAGGGUGAUCGGCCACAUUGGAACUGAGACACGGUCCAGACUCCUACGGGAGGCAGCAGUGGGGAAUAUUGCGCAAUGGGGGAAACCCUGACGCAGCAACGCCGCGUGGGUGAUGAAGGUCUUCGGAUUGUAAAGCCCUGUUUUCUAGGACGAUAAUGACGGUACUAGAGGAGGAAGCCACGGCUAACUACGUGCCAGCAGCCGCGGUAAUACGUAGGUGGCGAGCGUUGUCCGGAUUUACUGGGCGUAAAGGGUGCGUAGGCGGAUGUUUAAGUGGGAUGUGAAAUCCCCGGGCUUAACCUGGGGGCUGCAUUCCAAACUGGAUAUCUAGAGUGCAGGAGAGGAAAGCGGAAUUCCUAGUGUAGCGGUGAAAUGCGUAGAGAUUAGGAAGAACACCAGUGGCGAAGGCGGCUUUCUGGACUGUAACUGACGCUGAGGCACGAAAGCGUGGGUAGCAAACAGGAUUAGAUACCCUGGUAGUCCACGCCGUAAACGAUGGAUACUAGGUGUAGGGGGUAUCAACUCCCCCUGUGCCGCAGUUAACACAAUAAGUAUCCCGCCUGGGGAGUACGGUCGCAAGAUUAAAACUCAAAGGAAAUUGACGGGGGCCCGCACAAGCAGCGGAGCAUGUGGUUUAAUUCGAAGCAACGCGAAGAACCUUACCUGGACUUGACAUCCCUUGCAUAGCCUAGAGAUAGGUGAAGCCCUUCGGGGCAAGGAGACAGGUGGUGCAUGGUUGUCGUCAGCUCGUGUCGUGAGAUGUUAGGUUAAGUCCUGCAACGAGCGCAACCCUUGUUAUUAGUUGCUACCAUUAAGUUGAGCACUCUAAUGAGACUGCCUGGGUAACCAGGAGGAAGGUGGGGAUGACGUCAAAUCAUCAUGCCCCUUAUGUCCAGGGCUACACACGUGCUACAAUGGUAGGUACAAUAAGACGCAAGACCGUGAGGUGGAGCAAAACUUAUAAAACCUAUCUCAGUUCGGAUUGUAGGCUGCAACUCGCCUACAUGAAGCUGGAGUUGCUAGUAAUCGCGAAUCAGAAUGUCGCGGUGAAUACGUUCCCGGGCCUUGUACACACCGCCCGUCACACCAUGAGAGCUGGUAACACCCGAAGUCCGUGAGGUAACCGUAAGGAGCCAGCGGCCGAAGGUGGGAUUAGUGAUUGGGGUGAAGUC
rnacentral:rRNA from 1 species